AUUGAACGCUGGCGGCAGGCCUAACACAUGCACGUCGAGCGAGCGGCGGACGGGUGAGUAAUGUCUGGGGAUCUGCCCGAUAGAGGGGGAUAACUAAUGGAAACGGUAGCUAAUACCGCAUACUAUCAGAUGAACCCAUAUGGGAUUAGCUAGUAGGUGGGGUAAAGGCUAACCUAGGCGACGAUCCCUAGCUGGUCUGAGAGGAUGAUCAGCCACACUGGAACUGAGACACGGUCCAGACUCCUACGGGAGGCAGCAGUGGGGAAGAUUGCACAAUGGGCGCAAGCCUGAUGCAGCCAUGCCGCGUGUAUGAAGAAGGCCUUAGGGUUGUAAAGUACUUUCAGCGGGGAGGCGUUACCCGCAGAAGAAGCACCGGCUAACUCCGUGCCAGCCGCCGCGGUAAUAC
rnacentral:rRNA from 1 species